rnacentral:rRNA from 1 species
CAGAGGGUGCAAGCGUUAAUCGGAUUUACUGGGCGUAAAGCGUGCGUAGGUGGUCUUUUAAGUCGGAUGUGAAAUCCCUGAGCUUAACUUAGGAAUUGCAUUCGAUACUGGGAGACUAGAGUAUGGGAGAGGAUGGUAGAAUUCCAGGUGUAGCGGUGAAAUGCGUAGAGAUCUGGAGGAAUACCGAUGGCGAAGGCAGCCAUCUGGCCUAAUACUGACACUGAGGUACGAAAGCAUGGGAGCAAACAGGAUU